AUUGAACGCUGGCGGCAGGCCUAACACAUGCAAGUCGCACGAGUGGCGGACGGGUGAGUAAUGUCUGGGAAUCUACCUUAUGGAGGGGGAUAACUACUGGAAACGGUAGCUAAUACCGCGUACCAUCGGAUGCGCCCAAAUGGGAUUAGCUAGUUGGUGGGGUAAAGGCUCACCAAGCCGACGAUCUCUAGCUGGUCUGAGAGGAUGACCAGCCACACUGGGACGGAGACACGGCCCAGACUCCUACGGGAGGCAGCAGUGGGGAAUAUUGAACAAUGGGCGCAAGCCUGAUGCAGCCAUGCCGCGUGUAUGAAGAAGGCCUUCGGGUUGUAAAGCACUUUCAGCGAGGAGGCGUUACUCGCAGAAGAAGCACCGGCUAACUCCGUGCCAGCAGCCGCGGUAAUAC
rnacentral:rRNA from 1 species